GAGCGGCACCUGAAGGAGGAGGAGGAGGCGCUUCUGCUGAGAAAGCAGAAGGUGCAGGAGGACCAGGAGGAGGACAAGUGCUGUCACCCCAAGGAGGUGAAGAUGGAGCUGGAAGAGCAUCUUGAGAAGGUCAUGCAAGCCUGUGAGGUGGUGGAUCAGCUGGAGGUGGAGAAGGAGCAGCAGCAGCAGGCUCAGCUGGAGGAGGAGCCGGAGGUGCCCUCUCUGUCCCACCUCCAGGAGGAGGAAGGG